UACGAAGGGGGCUAGCGUUGUUCGGAAUUACUGGGCGUAAAGGGUGCGUAGGCGGGUCUUUAAGUCAGGGGUGAAAUCCUGGAGCUCAACUCCAGAACUGCCUUUGAUACUGAGGAUCUUGAGUUCGGGAGAGGUGAGUGGAACUGCGAGUGUAGAGGUGAAAUUCGUAGAUAUUCGCAAGAACACCAGUGGCGAAGGCGGCUCACUGGUCCGGUACUGACGCUGAGGUGCGAAAGCGUGGGGAGCAAACAGG
rnacentral:rRNA from 1 species